AGCGCAGGCGGUUUCUUAAGUCUGAUGUGAAAGCCUUCGGCUCAACCGAAGAAGUGCAUCGGAAACUGGGAAACUUGAGUGCAGAAGAGGACAGUGGAACUCCAUGUGUAGCGGUGAAAUGCGUAGAUAUAUGGAAGAACACCAGUGGCGAAGGCGGCUGUCUGGUCUGUAACUGACGCUGAGGACUCGAAAAGCAUGGGUAAGCAAACA
rnacentral:rRNA from 1 species